AAACUGAAGAGUUUGAUCAUGGCUCAGAUUGAACGCUGGCGGCAGGCUUAACACAUGCAAGUCGAGCGGGGAAGGGUAGUUCGCUACCUGACCUAGCGGCGGACGGGUGAGUAAUGCUUAGGAAUCUGCCUAUUAGUGGGGGACAACAUUCCGAAAGGAAUGCUAAUACCGCAUACGUCCUACGG
rnacentral:ncRNA from 1 species